rnacentral:rRNA from 1 species
AUGGGUUGCUUCUUCCGCACGUACAUGCUGGCCAUCGCCAACGCCGUCUGCAUCGGCGGCACGGCCAUGAUCGUGUACGCGUUCGUCAACCUGGCGCGAAAGCCCCACAGCAAGGGCUCCAUGGUCACGGCCUCCGUCUUCCUCCUCUGCUGGGUCAGCGUCACGGUCGGCGUUUAUACGGCCAUCUGCGGCGACCUCUUCCAGCUGUCGGGGCUGAGCCGGUGCCUGGCCUCCGCACCCGGGGCACUCCGUGGCGCGGGCCGGUUUCUCUGCUUGCCGUGCCGGUGCGCGCGCGCCCGCCGAAGCGGCGUCGGCGGCGCUCUGCCGCAGUUUCUGGACCAGACACCGAGCCAAAUGCCUGUGCUGGCCCGGGAGCCGCCGGUGCAUGGCGGCGCGCGAGCGGUGACGGCGUAUGACAUCCCAGCGUAUGAGCAGCCGGAGGGCGGCAGCGGGUCGGAGGGCGGCGGUGGGUCGGAGUGCGUGAUCUGCCUCGGGAAGGUGAAGAAGGGGGACGCGGUGAAGCGGAUGCCGGCGUGCCUGCACAUGUUUCACCAGCAGUGCAUCGACCCGUGGCUGCACGAGCACUCGACGUGCCCGGUCUGCCGGUGCAACAUCUUCGCGCCGUUGCCGGCCGAAAUGCAAAUGGUAUGA